GAAGAAGAAGAAGAAGAAGAAGAAGAAAAAGAAGAAGAAGAAGAAAAAGAAGAAGAAAAAGAUGAUGAUGAUGAGUGGAUUUAGACAUAAAAUGUGAAACCAUAAACAAUUAGGGAGGCAUGAAAUUAUUUACCUGUCAUAUUUAUGGAUAAGGGAAGAGUUUAUAACCAAAGAAGAGAUAGCAUUAGAGGAUAUAAAAUGGAUAAUUUUCAUUGCAUUAAAUUUGAAAAAAAAACCACACAAACAAAACCACUGCAGCCAAGAUUAUAAUGAAAGCAGAAAACGAAGAAAAAAAUUUACAGCAUGUUCCUCUGAUAAAGGCCUCAUUUCUCAAGUAUAUAGAUAACAGGAUCAAUGCAAUUCAUUCCCCAAGUGAUAAAUGGUCAAAAUCUAUGAACAGUUUUCAAAUGAAAAAAUCAAAGCUAUCUAUAGUCAUAUGAAAAAAAUGUUCUAAAUCACUAUUGAUUAGAGAAAUGAAAAUUAAAACAACUCUGAGGUUCCACUUCUCACUUAUAAGAUUGACUAAUGUGACAGAUGAGGAAAGUAAUUAAUGUUGGAGGAGAGGUAGAGAAAUUGGGACACCAUUUCACUUUUUGGUGGAGCAAUUUGGACCCUGUCCCAUAGGGAUAAAAAACUGUAUACCUUGUGACCCAGCAAUACCACUACUCGAUCUCUAUCCCAAAGAGAUUAAAAAAAGAGAAAAGACCUAUGUGUACAAAAUAAUUAUAGCAACUGGUUUUGUGGUGGAAGAAUUGGAAUUUAAGAUGUCUGCCAAUUGGAAAAUGGCUGACCAAAUUUUGGAGUUUACUCUGCAUCAGUUCAUACAAAUCUUCCAAGUUUCUCUGGAAUUGACUCUUGGUCAUUUUUUAUGGUGCAGUAGUGUUCCAUUACAUUCAUAUGUCAUAAUUUGCUCAGCCAUUUCCCGACUGACUGCUCAGCUUUCUGAAGGGAUCAUAGAUGUUUCUGAAGAUCAUAAAGCUAGAAAAGACCUCAGAGGAAUGUAUUUAAUUUCCACUUCUCAUCCUUGAAGAGAUUUAUGCCCAGAAGGGUGAUUAAGAUCUCAGAUAGAGAGCUUAUAGGGACUUUUCCGUCUAGGCCACCCUCAUCAUUUUUCGGCAGAGGAAACUGAGAACCAGACAUGAAAGGAAUAAGUGGCAGAAUUGGGAUUCAGAUUCAGAGUAUGUGACUACCAAGUUCAGUUGGUAAGAUUUCUCAAGUCUCAGUUGUAUCUGAUCUUGGUGAGAUGUGCGGCCUGAGAAAAUUCCCAUCUGCAACAAGACAUCCUCACAGUCUGUCCAGCCAGUUAUAGCCUUGCUGGUGGCUAAUGAGCCAGCCAUGCUGUGGACACCUGCCUGCAGAACGCAGCUUCUUCUGACCCCGUCCGCUAGAAAGGAGCUGGCUAAAAUUACUCAAUGGAUCUCUGAAAGGUUCUGAUUCAGCCAUUACUUAUCGUGAGAGCUGAAGAGCGAGAACCCUAUGUCACUUGUGCCUUUGUGGGCAUAAUUGAAAUUGAUAGAGACAAUUAGGAGAACCAGUCUGCUAAUAGGCACGGAUCCCUGGAAGACUAUCUAUGGACUCCGGGUUAAGAAUCACCAGCCAAUUGAAGUUAAAUGAUUUCCCUGCUUACAUAUGGAUUGUUUUCAUAGGUUCAUAGAUGUUGGGUGGGUUCCACUCACAAUGCAUUCCAUGACCAAGAGUAUGCCAUGCUCAGCCUCAUAAAGACAAAUCUCUGAUAAAUGGACUUAUUAAAAAGGGCCAUAAAAAUAAAUGGGUGGAAUGGUUUCAUCUUAGAGGGAAAAAGAAAAUUAAGGGUGUUUUCUUCUGGGGCACCCAUGAAGAAUCUGCUCUGCCAUAGUCUCACUUAUUUAUUUCUCUUAUGUAAAUGAAGAACAGGAAAUGAGGAGAGAGAUGCUCCCUUGACAGAGUAAUGAAUGUGAACCAGUUUUUUUUUUAAUGGAAAACUGAUAUAAUUAGAAGACUAUUAACUUUUUCCCCUAGCAGCAUGAAAUGAACAAGCCACAGGAGACCUGUCCUUCACAAUAAUUAAAGUUCAGAAUUAGCCUUUUAGCUUCAUAAGCAUCUUAUUUAGUAAUUCUUAAAUUGAUAGUAAAUAUCAGGGCAUUUUGGGGAUAGGGAACUUCUUCCCUUCUUUCUAUUAUUUUAUGAAGGAAAUCUUUGUGGGAGACAGAUUUUUCUUUCCCUUACCUUCUCUUCCCUUGCCUUCCCUUGCUUUCCCUUGCCUUCUCAUUUGCUCCCUUCUAUUCCAUUCCAUGUCAAUUCUUUCCCUUGCCUUCCUUUGCCUUGCCUUGCCUUCCCUUGCUUUGCCUUGCCUUCUGAUUUGUUCUAUUCCAUUCUAUGUCAUUUCCUUCCCUUGCCUUCCUUUCCCUUGCUUUUCCUUGUUAUUUAUU